rnacentral:rRNA from 1 species
UGGCGGACGGGUGAGUAACGCGUGAGGAACCUGCCUUUCAGUGGGGGACAACAGUUGGAAACGACUGCUAAUACCGCAUAAUGUAUUCUGACCGCAUGAUCGGAAUACCAAAGAUUUAUUGCUGAAAGAUGGCCUCGCGUCUGAUUAGCUAGUUGGUGAGGUAAUGGCCCACCAAGGCGACGAUUGGUAGCCGGACUGAGAGGUUGAACGGCCACAUUGGGACUGAGACACGGCCCAGACUCCUACGGGAGGCAGCAGUGGGGGAUAUUGCACAAUGGGGGAAACCCUGAUGCAGCGACGCCGCGUGGAGGAAGAAGGUUUUCGGAUUGUAAACUCCUGUCGUUAGGGACGAUAAUGACGGUACCUAACAAGAAAGCACCGGCUAACUACGUGCCAGCAGCCGCGGUAAAACGUAGGGUGCAAGCGUUGUCCGGAAUUACUGGGUGUAAAGGGAGCGCAGGCGGGAAGACAAGUUGGAAGUGAAAACCAUGGGCUCAACCC